rnacentral:lncRNA from 1 species
AGUAAAUGCCAAACUAUUUUCUUCCCAAAAUCCAAAACAAUAUUCAAAGCAAUAACUAAAACCCUUUUCUCUUCUCCCAUUGCAAGAUGAUGUGUCAGCAUGCUGAACUAAAGUAAGCAAAGAAAGUAAAUAAAAACUUGUUAGACGUGACCCUUAGCUACAGUCACAAAAUGCAUUCAUUCAUGAGCAAUGAUCGUGCCUCCCUUUGUAAUGUAUUGAAAAGCAAAAUUUUUAAGCAAAGCUGCAUAACGUCUCAAUCAACAAAGUCAAACAGAUUGGCACAAAGAAAAGAAAGUAAAGUGUACUCAUCAUCAUUUCAUGAAAACGUUACUGCGCAACUACAUUCUACAAACCAUAAAAUGUUCUAGGAAUAUUCCCAAGUGAAGAGUGGCGGCUCUGUCCUCCCUCCUCCCAAGGUAAGACUAUACCCUACUAAUGAGUAUGUUUUUCCUAGGGAGGGCCCUCAGCUGAUUCCUUUGCUGCCAGGUGGAUGAAAUUGGGCGUGUUGUUGGACGUUGCCCUCCAAAACUGGGUCCGUUGCUGCCUUCCAAUGUGCUGAAUGCACCUCCACUUUUCAUGUGUUGGCAUGGGCCAUGGUUGCUUCAUCAAGCAAACAUAAAUUGACCAAUUUGGACCGUGUGGAAGCAGCAUGAGUGGGUUGCAGCAGUGUGCUUCCAUGUGCACCUGCUAGGACUUCCAAAAUUAAUUGCCAUGGCCCCAUUGCCUUGCUAGAUGUCACCCCUUAAUGAAGCCCAAGUGAGGAACGUGUGUGUUUCAUUAAAAGAAUGAAAUAUGCUUUCAUUUCAAUUAAUCACCACACAUUCUCUAAAGAAAAUAAUUUGGAUGCAGCGUCUGGAAAAAUCACCCAUCUUUGCCUCAUUAGCCAACGUCACCAUUACACUCUUAGCAUUGGAGUUCUAGCCGUGCAUCCCACUUUAAUUUAAUCACAAAUGUGCCUCAAUUAACCUCCAAAUGUCUCCAAUAAUAUUUCCAAAUUAAUAAUCCAAAUAAUUAACUCAGAUAAUUCAAAUUAACUAAAAUAAGAAUUUCCGAUCAAAUUAAGCAUAAUUAGGAAAAACGGGAAAAUACCGGACAAUUAAGCACAAUUCCCUGAUUAAAUCUAGCACAAUAAACUAAGUGAAAUCAAUAAAAUAUCAACUCAUCAAAAUAGACCACACUUAGUCUUUUGCACUCUUGGGCAAAAUCAAGACGCAAAACAGGGAACAGUUCAACGGACAUCAGGGAAUUGACACAAACUCAACACACAGAAAACAAAGACUGACAAGGAAAGAAACAAAAUUACACAUUGCUCAAGAAAUCUGGACAGUGAAAGGGAGUAGACAGUAUCCACCACAGAAUAAGAGAAAACACAUACUCAUGAAGUCAUCCAAGCAAUUCCAAACAUGGCAAAAAUGAUCAAUCAGUUCAAGAGAGGAAUCAAAAGUAACAUGACCUCACAGAUGCACACUAUCAAUGUUUCUCUAAAGUGUCUAAGGUAAAUAAUGUCAACUCAAUGGACUCAAGAAAGCAAACACAAAUAGACUUGGCAAGCCUCUAAUAUCAACACUCAAACACAUAUGCAUGUUCAAAUCAAAAGGUCUUUUAUGGAUGUAAUGGGGCCAAGGAUAAGGGAGGAUAUUAUAUGGAUAAGAAGCUACAAAACAAAAGGAAUAGAGGAGUGUUAACGGAUUGGCAAGCGUACCAAAUCGUUCAAGUAAUAAUAAAAUGGUAAGUCCAAGUAUCAUUUUCCCAAGAGACUCGCGGCAUUAAACUGUUGUGUUUUUGCUUAACCAAUCAAGAUUAUAAAAAUAAUAUUUUGGGAUUUAAAAAGUGCAGAAAAAUAAUCAUGAAUGCAAUUUGAUUAAUUGAGGUUAAACACAAAAGUGGAUGAAUGAAUGGAGUUGUUCGGGGUUUACAAUUUCAUCUAAUCCGCUCUCUCUUACAUACUACCCUUGAAUAUUAGUUUGAUUAAUUCAAUUGUUAUGCGACUUUCUUAGCCUCCCCUUAACCCGAUCCCUCGGCGAAAAGGGCCUAAUAUUAACU